rnacentral:rRNA from 1 species
UACGGGGGGGGCAAGCGUUGUUCGGAAUUACUGGGCGUAAAGGGCUCGUAGGCGGCCAACUAAGUCAUACGUGAAAUCCCUCGGCUUAACCGGGGAACUGCGUCUGAUACUGGAUGGCUUGAGUUCGGGAGAGGGAUGCGGAAUUCCAGGUGUAGCGGUGAAAUGCGUAGAUAUCUGGAGGAACACCGGUGGCGAAGGCGGCAUCCUGGACCGAUACUGACGCUGAGGCGCGAAAGCCAGGGGAGCGAACGGG